rnacentral:rRNA from 1 species
UACAUGGGGUGCAAACGUUGCUCGGAAUUAUUGGCGUAAAGCGCGCGUAGGCGGUUACUUAAGUCGGAUGUGAAAGCCCCUCGGCUAACUGGAGGAAGUGCACCCGAAACUGAGUAGCUAGAGUACGAAAGAGGUCGCGGAAUUCCCGGUGGUAGAGGGUGAAAUUCGUAGAUAUCGGGAGGAACACCGGUGGCGAAGGCGGCGACCUGGGUCGAGACUGACGCUGAGGCGCGAAAGCGUGGGGAGCAAACAGG